UGUGGCCUUAGAAAAGGCUCAAAAUGCGCACACAAAGAGAAACUGACACCAAAUUGAGGCAGACUGGACAUCCAGGUCUUUGGAGGCACCUGCUGCUUGGGCACAUUGCCUUCUGCUACCCUUGUGAGGUAGAGGAAACACCCAGGUAGAGACAGCUGAUCAGAGUCAAAGGUGCAAGAAAGACCACAGCUUCGCUGUGAAAUGGAUGGCAUGGGGGGAUUCUAAAGGAAAGGACUAGUUUUGUGAUGGGGAAAAUGGAUGGCAAGGGGAAGAUGGUGAAGACAGCGUGGAAGUGGAAGAUAAACAAUGGGAAAAGAAGAAAAAAAUAAUAUUUCUAUACAUAUAUUCUACGUACGCUGUCUAUCACACUUUUUGUAUCUAUUGAAGCAUGAUUUUAGUGAAUUUGCUACCCUAUAGGGAAGUAAGUACCAAAAGCUCAGAUCAUUAAUCCUUAAUACUGAAUAGAUGCAGCUUGUUAGUUUGUACUUCACCAUGUAAUUACAGCUAAUGUGAAAUGUUCUUAGAAACGCUGGGCUGCUAUUCUGCACAUCCAAGUUGGAUGUCGGGAAGAUGUCCUGGAGUGGACAGUCACGUCCAGAUGGGUGAAGGUGUACUUUCAGCUGUUCUGAUGACUGACAGCAGAUUUUGGCAAUUAAUUCUAAUUUAAAGAUGACAUUUUGAAAUAGUUGGCAAGUAACUUAAUAUUCUAAAUCUAAUCUCCCCACAUGAAAUCCCAGUCAAUGCCUUUUGGAUCCCCAGCCACAAUGCCCUUUUGCUGAUGCCAAGACUUUGGCAUCUGGAUUUGACUCCUGAUCUUCUGCAAAAUCAUUUACUCGUGGAUUCCUCACAUCCACUCUGGGAACUCUCAUUGAGCAUGUGACAGUUAACAUGCUAUGCAGCUCCCCUUUCCCUUCCCCCUAAUUUCAUUUUUUUGAUUGCUGUAGUUAAAAUAAUCAUUUAGUUUAGAGUUAACCAAUUGCUUUGUGCAGGUAUUAUAAAUAUAUGGAUUUUGAAAGGCAGUGACAAUCUCAUCCAAGAUAACAAAAGCCACUACUGCAAGAGACACGUCCUAGGCUACUUGUGCUGUAUGCUCAUGAAAGCAUUAAGAUGUGUUUACGGUCAUUUGAAAGUCACAGUCACCUGGCUGAGCAGAUUACACAGUCCCGAUGUCGUUAAUUAGUCAUCAACAAAAUUUAGCUCUAACAGCAAAUGUAUUUUCUGAAUUAUCAAAGUGAUCUGUAGGAGAUCAGCAGAGGCUUUUGGAAAAAUUAGCUGUUGCUCUCUCCACAGACAGAAAUCACAGAGCAGAGACUUGUGCUAAUGUACACAGCACAGGCAAAUGGACUAAAGGAUGUUUGCUGCAAUUAUCGUUGGUGGACAUAAGAGUUACAGAGUGGCUGAACAGAAUUCUCCUGCUUAACAAAGGAAGAGAUGAUUUCAUUACGAAAAAAUACAUAUGACAGAAGUGCAGAGGAUUUCAGAGGGAAGGAAGUGAAGACUGAUGUGACCAUUAAUUCGUUCUCUGGACUGGUCAGAUCGUCAAUAACCUAACCCCACCUUGUGGUUGUUCUGGAGUCGUUUGCUUGCUUUGCUCAUUAGGCUGCAAACUCUUGCUGAAGAACAGCCAACUAUUGAUUAAGGCUCAUGACAAAAGGAAAGAUAUAAAAAACAAAACCGAGGAGUGUCAUUCUGGCAUGUACUGAAGGAGUCCACAUGGGUGGAAAAGGAAAGAUAAUGUCAAGUUCCAGACAACUUGAAAGCUGGGUUUACUGAGCCGAGUGGUGAGAACACUCACAUUUUAGGUCAACCGUGGUAAAUUUGUUAUAGCAUCAGCCCAGUCACACCUGGAGAAAAAUUAGUGUCUCAUUAUUUAUUCAGAGCAUCCCCAUUUUUUCAGAAGUUGUAUUAUUAGAAACACGCGUUCCAAAGAUGCAGGCUUUCUGGUAACUGUGAUUUACAGUUAUCACUAUGCAUGUUUCCAGUUAACAGCAGGUUCUCUUGCUAAAAAGCACACAUACAGCGCUGCACUUAGUUAAUAAGAAAUGGAAUAAAAAAUGGAUGAAAAUGAUCUCUUUUUAAGACACAUGUCUGUUUUCCCUGCUUUUGUGAAAUCAAAGCAUCAAAGAAAGAAAUCUUCUUUUCAGUGACUCACUGGCAACCUAUUAGCAUAUUUGCCUAUGUCCCUGUCAGCCACUCUUACAUCAACACUUUCACAAAAGCUACCUACUGCAGACUGGUGUCUGCUCUGGCUAGCUUGCUGGUCACCAUCGUGAUAUAAUCUCCUUCCAAAGCAAUUUAAUUAGCACAGGGAAAGAAAUGACCUUUCUCAAGUUUUUAUUUUUUCCACUAGGCUAAAUAUAUCUCACUGAAUAUGUCAAUAGUAUCCUUGAUGCACACAGCACUCCAAUACCCUGUUGUAAGGAAAAAAGAAUUUUAAAGCACUAAUUUUAUAGGUAAUGAGGAAAAUAAGCUUUUUAAUGUCCUUUGAAAUAGGCAAAGCUAUUUGGAAUGCAGAACUGUUGAGAAAGUCCUUAGGUGAAUGGAUUGUAGAUAAUAAUAUGCCAUGCUUCUUGCACUUUAUAGUAACAGAUAUUGUGAAUAAUGGCUAUUACAAGGCAUUUUACAAAAGUACUCUGAUUUAUUUUCCAUCAUUCAUGGAUCAGAAGGCACAGAAAACUGAACAAAGUCCAAAUACUUUUGCUGAAGUCCAUCUCACAAGCUGUCCAUCUCACAGAUCUUGCCUGCAAGGACACUCCUGAAAUUUCUUUAUUCAUAAUUUAUUAAUUCCAUCCUUGCCUGGACUGCAAAAGCAUCAGCUGAUGUUUUACAGUGUGCUGAGCAUCUCUGCGUAGCAGCUAUAAAGACGCAGCUAUUCCCAGUGCAGUACUUGCCCGGUUCCUUGCCAGAGCCCAACCAGCACUGCACAUUUUUCCUGCUCACCAACUCCCAUAGAAAAAUAAAACCCGAGGGUCCUCAGACCCUGCUGCUGCCACUGAUGUGGACUAAGAAAUAUCCACCCCAGCAAGUGCAAAUGACAGUCCUACCUAUGUCUGCAUUUACAGUCCGUGUCUAACAGUAGAAAGAGCACAGAGGUUCAGGCUCAUAAGAAGACAGAACUUGAUUGGUAACAGAAUAUCGGUCAGGUCUCUGCAGUCACUUGGCCAAGAUGAAGUGAGCAGAAUGUCCUCUCACCGUGACUGUGAUGGAUAAUGCUUCUGUUUGACUUCUCCUGAAUAGUGCAUGCGCUAUUACACACUUGGAAUCCUUAUAUUCUCUGGCAGCUGUAAGAAGACUGCAAACUGUAGCUCCUCAUGCAGCCUACCAGUCUUUUUGUAUGAAGACUUGUUUGCUGAAUGUUGCCCAUCAAACAUGUGCGGGUGAUUGCACUAUAUACCACCUUACAAUUUUAUGUGUGUAUGUGUGUGUAACUCCACAUGCAUGCACAUACCCUGAUACGCAUGUACAUACACAGAAAGAAGGCAAAAAUACUCUAGAAAUUAUCUUUUUUUUUUUCAUAGGAGUUUAUGUGAAUUAUUUUUCCUUAUUUGUGUUUCAGUUUGUUUGAGCUGUACAUUACAACAGAUUUAGGCAGUGUUAUUUUUAAGACACAGCAUCCUGCUUAGAAAAGUUAGCUAGAAGUACGGACAGGAUGAGAUCCACUUUAUGGGUGAAGUUAGUGUGGCUUUUCUCCUCCAUCCUUUUCAGAUCUCUUAAAUACCAUUUCUUUCCAAACUGGAUUAGAAAGGAAGUUGAGUUGAAGCACAGAUCUGCUGCUACAACUAAAAUACAGUAUGCAUCUCCUCCAGUUCCUGGUUGUGCCGUAGUGUGUGUGACUGUGACCAGAAGCAAAAGCUCCCUGAGUCUCUAAUUGCCAAGUAUAACAUGAGGUACGGAUUGAAUAAAAUCUAUGAAUUCUGGGAGCACUCAUCUACUGCAGCACUAAGGGCCAUGGAAAUACCCAGAUGGAAUAUGCACACCAGGAAAAUGGCAAAAUGCCAAACAUAAAGGGGCUAAAUGGUAGGAAAAGAAAGUGGAUCCAAGCUUUCAAUAAAUAAUUAUAACUUUUGGUAAGAGGAAGAGAAGAUAUUAAAGGUCAGAACUCUGUGUCAUGCCCAUGUAAGUUAUAGGAGUGACUCAUGCUAACUUCGCCUCAGCACCAUAAAACUAGCACUGAGCACAACAGCCUUCUGUUCAAUCUGCGGUUCUUUUAUAAUGCCCUUUUCUUUUUACUCUUUAGUGAGACACUGGGAAUAAAACAGCGCUAUUAAGGUUGGAAAAGGUCUCUGAGAACAUCUAGUCCAACUGCCCACCUAGCAUGACGUUAUAUUGCAAUUCUUUCUUUGGCUUUUGCACAGCUUUGAAAACCUAAGCGCAGGUGAGGCAGAGAAGCACUCAGAAUUCUUUGCCCAGAGACAAUAAUAGCCACUUCAGUGCUUGGACAGACGCAAGGCUUGUGCAGAUAAGGAAGGUGACAUCCUGCCUGCUUCGUGAGAAGAGCCUCUGCUGACUUCAUACCACCCGGAAGCAGUCACUGGUUCCAGCCCCACUUCCUGCUGGGUCCUGCACCGUCCUUAACAGCACCAGCAGGCACUUACAGGUGGGAUACAGAGCUCCUGCCCACCUGGUCCUGCUGUCAGCAACUGUCUUUUGUGGUGGCAUUGCCCUCAGCACAGAAGGUUAUACAGUAAUCUGCCUCCUAAAACUGCCACUGUUAUGGCUGGUAAAAUGGGUCCAUUUAACCAGAGCAAGUGCUGAAUUCUGCACCCAAGAAAGGGCAGUUCUGGCUAUACAUAUGGACUGGGGGGAUGAGAUGCUGGAGAGCAGCACCACAGAAAGGGAUCAGGGUGUUCUGGCUGAUGGUAAGCCAAACAUGAGGCAGCAGUGUGCCCUGGAGUCCAAAGGGCCAACCAUACCCUGGGGUGCAGCAGGCCCAGUGCUGCUACCGGGCAAGGGAGCAUCUGGGCAGUGCCCUCAGACACAGGGUUUGGGUCCUCUGUGUCCUUUCCAACUGGGGGUAUUCUGUGAUACUGUGAUCCUUUUGGGUCCCUUUCAACUCAGGAUAUUCUAUGGCUAUAAUUCUGCUUUUUUUUUUUUUUUUUUUUUUAAUCAGGAAAAGGACAUUUUUUUACACGAAAAGGAAAUCUUUGUAUUUUCAGUAUAUCCAAACCUGAUCACAUUCUUUUGAUUUCUGUGGCUAUUUCGUCAGGGUUAUACAGCCAUAUAUAACAAACCUUGUGAAACAACACUGAAUUGAAA
ensembl:lncRNA